GAACGCUGGCGGCGUGCCUAAUACAUGCAAGUCGAACGGCUUUUCUAUGGAAGCUUGCUUCCACUGAGAAGAUAGUGGCGAACGGGUGAGUAACACGUGGGUAACCUGCCCAUAAGAGGGGGGAUAACAUCCGGAAACGGGUGCUAAUACCGCAUAGUUUUCUUGAUCGCAUGAUCGGGAAAGGAAAGACGGCCUUUGUGCUGUCGCUUAUGGAUGGACCCGCGGCGUAUUAGUUAGUUGGUGAGGUAACGGCUCACCAAGACGAUGAUACGUAGCCGACCUGAGAGGGUGAUCGGCCACAUUGGGACUGAGACACGGCCCAAACUCCUACGGGAGGCAGCAGUAGGGAAUCUUCCGCAAUGGACGAAAGUCUGACGGAGCAACGCCGCGUGAGUGAAGAAAGGUUUUCGGAUCGUAAAACUCUGUUGUCGGAGAAGAACAAGUUGGAGAGUAACUGCUCCAGCCUUGACGGUAUCUGACCAGAAAGCCACGGCUAACUACGUGCCAGCCGCUGC
rnacentral:rRNA from 1 species